CUAACACAUGCAAGUCGAACGGUAACAGGAAGAAGCUUGCUUCUUUGCUGACGAGUGGCGGACGGGUGAGUAAUGUCUGGGAAACUGCCUGAUGGAGGGGGAUAACUACUGGAAACGGUAGCUAAUACCGCAUAACGUCGCAAGACCAAAAAGGGGGACCUUCGGGCCUCUUGCCAUCGGAUGUGCCCAGAUGGGAUUAGCUAGUAGGUGGGGUAACGGCUCACCUAGGCGACGAUCCCUAGCUGGUCUGAGAGGAUGACCAGCCACACUGGAACUGAGACACGGUCCAGACUCCUACGGGAGGCAGCAGUGGGGAAUAUUGCACAAUGGGCGCAAGCCUGAUGCAGCCAUGCCGCGUGUAUGAAGAAGGCCUUCGGGUUGUAAAGUACUUUCAGCGGGGAGGAAGGGAGUAAAGUUAAUACCUUUGCUCAUUGACGUUACCCGCAGAAGAAGCACCGGCUAACUCCGUGCCAGCAGCCGCGGUAAUACGGAGGGUGCAAGCGUUAAUCGGAAUUACUGGGCGUAAAGCGCACGCAGGCGGUUUGUUAAGUCAGAUGUGAAAUCCCCGGGCUCAACCUGGGAACUGCAUCUGAUACUGGCAAGCUUGAGUCUCGUAGAGGGGGGUAGAAUUCCAGGUGUAGCGGUGAAAUGCGUAGACAUCUGGAGGAAUACCGGUGGCGAAGGCGGCCCCCUGGACGAAGACUGACGC
rnacentral:rRNA from 1 species